UACGAAGGGGGGCUAGCGUUGUUCGGAAUUACUGGGCGUAAAGCGCACGUAGGCGGAUUUGUAAGUCAGGGGUGAAAGCCCGAGGCUCAACCUCGGAACUGCCUUCGAUACUGCGGGUCUCGAGUCCGGGAGAGGUGAGUGGAAUUCCUAGUGUAGAGGUGAAAUUCGUAGAUAUUAGGAAGAACACCAGUGGCGAAGGCGGCUCACUGGCCCGGUACUGACGCUGAGGCGCGAAAGCGUGGGGAGCAAACAGG
rnacentral:rRNA from 1 species